rnacentral:rRNA from 1 species
GAGUUUGAUCAUGGCUCAGAACGAACGCUGGCGGCAUGCCUAACACAUGCAAGUCGAACGCAUGUAGCAAUACAUGAGUGGCGGACGGGUGAGUAACGCGUGGGAACCUGCCUUAGAGUGGGGGAUAACCACUGGAAACGGUGGCUAAUACCGCAUAUGCCCUGAGGGGCAAAGGCUUCGGCCGCUCUUAGAUGGGCCCGCGUACGAUUAGCUAGUUGGUGAGGUAACGGCUCACCAAGGCGACGAUCGUUAGCUGGUCUGAGAGGAUGAACAGCCACACUGGGACUGAGACACGGCCCAGACUCCUACGGGAGGCAGCAGUGGGGAAUAUUGGACAAUGGGGGAAACCCUGAUCCAGCAAUGCCGCGUGAGUGAUGAAGGCCUUAGGGUUGUAAAACUCUUUCGCCCACGACGAUGAUGACGGUAAUGGGAGAAGAAGCCCCGGCUAACUUCGUGCCAGCCGCCGCAGUAAG